AUUGAACGCUGGCGGCAGGCUUAACACAUGCAAGUCGAGCGGAGCGAGGGUGCUUGCACCUUAGCUUAGCGGCGGACGGGUGAGUAAUGCUUAGGAAUCUGCCUAUUAGUGGGGGGCAACAUUCCGAAAGGAAUGCUAAUACCGCAUACGCCCUACGGGGGAAAGAAGGGGAUGUUCGGACCUUGCGCUACUAGAUGAGCCUAAGUCGGAUUAGCUAGUUGGUGGGGUAAAGGCCUACCAAGGCGACGAUCUGUAGCGGGUCUGAGAGGAUGAUCCGCCACACGGGGACUGAGACACGGCCCAGACUCCUACGGGAGGCAGCAGUGGGGAAUAUUGGACAAUGGGCGGAAGCCUGAUCCAGCCAUGCCGCGUGUGUGAAGAAGGCCUUUUGGUUGUAAAGCACUUUAAGCGAGGAGGAGGCUACUUAGAUUAAUACUCUGGGAUAGUGGACGUUACUCGUAGAAUAAGCACCGGCUAACUCUGUGCCAGCAGCCGCGGUAACAC
rnacentral:rRNA from 1 species